rnacentral:lncRNA from 1 species
UUUGGGAUUUCCACAUUAGCUGCCCUCUCUCCUUGCUCAGCACUGUGCAAUAAUAAAAUUCCUACUUUCUUCCACUACACCCGAUGUUGGAGAUUGGCUUGCUGCACAAGGGGUGAGCGAACUCACUUCAGGUUCAUUAUCAUCAGGAUACAAGUUACCAUCUUAAGCAAGAUGUCCUUUGGAAAACAUCUGGGAAAUGAUCGUUUGUAAUCAUUGGUGUCUUUACCUAACAGCUGCUUUGAGAGCAUAUUCGUAGAAAAACAAGUGCCAGGCCUUACCCACAGGUUUUCUGACGAAGAACCAGGAAAGCCGGUGGUGUAAUUCAGUCUAAGUCUGAAGGCAUGAGAACUGGGAGAGUUGAUGGGGCGAGACAACUUAGUAUCUGGCACGAAGUGGCAACUCGACAUAUAUCACUGCCUCCACCCAUCGCCACAUCCUUCCAAGCUGCCAGGAGCGAGCCC